UACGUAGGGUGCAAGCGUUGUCCGGAAUUAUUGGGCGUAAAGAGCUCGUAGGCGGUGUGUCACGUCGGCCGUGAAAACCUGCAGCUUAACUGUGGGCGUGCGGUCGAUACGGGCAUCACUGGAGUUCGGCAGGGGAGACUGGAAUUCCUGGUGUAGCGGUGAAAUGCGCAGAUAUCAGGAGGAACACCUGAGGUGAAGACGGGUUGCUAGGCUGACACUGACGCUGAGGCGCGAAAGCCAGGGGAGCAAACGGG
rnacentral:rRNA from 1 species